rnacentral:rRNA from 1 species
UACGAAGGGGGCUAGCGUUGUUCGGAUUUACUGGGCGUAAAGGGCGCGUAGGCGGCCCUCCUUGUCGCGUGUGAAAGCCCCGGGCUCAACCUGGGAAUUGCGCGCGAAACGGGGGGGGCUUGAGUUCGGGAGAGGAGCGUGGAAUUCCCAGUGUAGAGGUGAAAUUCGUAGAUAUUCGCAAGAACACCAGUGGCGAAGGCGGCUCACUGGCCCGAUACUGACGCUGAGGUGCGAAAGCGUGGGGAGCAAACAGG